GACGAACGCUGGCGGCGUGCUUAACACAUGCAAGUCGAACGGAGCGAAUGAAAGCUUGCUUUUAUGAGCUUAGUGGCAAACGGGUGAGUAACACGUAGACAACCUGCCGACAGGAUGGGGACAACAUUCCGAAAGGAAUGCUAAUACCGAAUGAAGUCAGAGAAGGGCAUCCUUUUCUGAUGAAAGAUGGCCUCUUUUUAUGCUAUCACCUGUUGAUGGGUCUGCGUCUGAUUAGCUGGUAGGUGAGGUAACGGCUCACCUAGGCGACGAUCAGUAGCCGGUCUGAGAGGAUGAACGGCCACAUUGGGACUGAGACACGGCCCAGACUCCUACGGGAGGCAGCAGUGGGGAAUCUUCCGCAAUGGGCGCAAGCCUGACGGAGCAACGCCGCGUGAGUGAAGAAGGUCUUCGGAUCGUAAAGCUCUGUUGACGGGGACGAACGUGCGUGAUGCGAAUAGUGUCAUGCAAGACGGU
rnacentral:rRNA from 1 species